rnacentral:sRNA from 1 species
CCUGCGAAACAAUUGUCAACACCUUUUUACAAAACAAAAGUUGGUUUUUUAUAUGUCCUAUCCCCGGUUGGCACACUGCAAUUUAUAAAUUAUGCAACGGUGAAGUGCAAAUUUGGAAUUUUAAAUAGCUUUGUAUUAGUUUUAAGACUGCAGUUAAAAGACGGUACAAUUUAACAUCUGAUGUUGCAGAAACCAUUUUUGUUUUGAAACGGUUUCUUUUACUGUGUAUCUAUCAUGGCUGCCAUCUGAAGGCAUUGUAUUUGCUACUGACAGCCCCUUGACAAGGCUAUGGCAGCUGGAGACGACCUGAAGGGUCCGUAAAUCCCCAUAUAUGAUGUGUGCCCUCACCCUCAUCGGUCACAUCCACACUCACUCGUCCGUCAGCCACCCUCGCCCUAAGAUUUUUACGACGCUGGCGCCAGAGUGAAAGUUCCCCUUGAACGGAACCCAAAAAGGACCCAGAUGAAAGUAGCAAUUCCAACCAUUUGCAAUUUUUACCCUCGUUGCGGAGUAAGUGUGUCUGUGACAGUGGCAUUUUUGAUGAAAUUUUAUUCCGUUCACAUAGACGUCAAUGUCAUUUCAGCCGCUCGCUUAGUUCUUCGCCUUGAUGUUCUUUUUUAUGUCC